CUGGAAUAAAGAAGAAGGUGAAAUGUAAGGUCAAAACACAAACACUGAAAUACUGAUGAAGCUGAAAUGUAAGGUCAAAACAUAAACACUGGAAUAAAGAAGAAGGUGAAAUGUAAAGUCAAAACAUAAACACUGGAAUAAAGAAGAAGGUGAAAUGUAAGGUCAAAACAUAAACACUGGAAUAAAGAUGAAAUGUAAGGUAAAAACACAAACACUGAAAUACUGAUGAAGGUGAAACGUAAGGUCAAAACAUAAACACUGGAAUAAAGAUGAAACGUAAGGUCAAAACACAAACACUGAAAUACUGAUGAAGGUGAAACAUAAGGUCAAAACAUAAACACUGGAAUAAAGAUGAAGGUGAAAUGUAAGGU